ACCCGCUGAAUUUAAGCAUAUAAGUAAGUGGUGGAAAUUAAACCAAAUGGGAUAUCUUUAGUAAUUGCGAAUGAACAAGGAUAUGCUUAGCUUGACAAAUGGAGCUAUUGGCUUUGAAUUGUAUUUGUGGAAUGUAUUACCAACAGAGGUGCAGGUGCCAGCCUAUUAAAUAAAGCGUCAAUGAGGGUGAGAAUCCUGUUUGUCAUGUGCAGCCCUUUGUGCACGGUGUAUAUUUGCUGAGUCACACUCCUUGGCAUUGGAAUGCAAAGUGGGUGGUAAGUUUCAUGUACAGGUAAACAUGCAAUUGAGACUGAUAGCACACAAGUACCAUGAGGGAAAUAUGAAAAGGACUUUGAAAAGAGAAUUAAAUGAGUUUGUAUUUGCUGAACACAAAGUAAACAGACUUGAUUUGCUUGGUGGGAGUGUUGCACUUGCUUGACAAGAGCUUUGGGCUGUGGGUGUAAUGAUUCUUUCUUUGCAUGCCAGUUUCUAUGUGUACAUCUGAUUACCUUUGCACAUGAAUGAUAAGUCUCCUGUGGGGGGUGGAUUGCAUGUGCAUGUAAUGAUUUGUGUUUUGAUAAAUGUGUCUGGUGUAUGUGUGUGUGUUCCUGUGCUUGGGGAUGCUUCCUUCCUUGGACUUACAAGCCCUGACACACACAUGCUGGCAAAAUGCUUCUGCUUGACCCGUCUUGAAACACGGACCAAAGG
rnacentral:rRNA from 1 species